ACGAGGGGCGGAGCUGCCAACCAGCGCGCGCGUUGCUAGGGACGCCCCGCGAAGAGCGCGGGAAAGCCGCGGAAGAGGUGGGCCGCAACUGGCUACGUCCUUUUUCCGUCACUAGACCUUGCUCAUAGUACGGUCCAUGAAUUCUGACUGGGGGAAACUUCACUAUCCCAGGAGCGGGAAGGCACCUACUCCCUUCCCCUGACGUCCCUGGUUACCUCACAUUUGGCUUAAGAACAAACAGUCUGAACAGCCUGGACAUGGCACCGGAAGCUCACAGUAAUGAAGGUCAUGAAAAGACCUGCAAUUUCUAUAGGGUUCUCCUUUCUUAGUGUGUUACACAGAGAUAUACAUGCAGAAGAUAACAAGGAAUUCGUAUAAAAACGGGUUACGUGUUAUGGAAGCUGAAAAGUUCCACAACAGGCUGGAGACUCAGGGAUCUUGGUCCAAGGAAUCUUACAUAUGACUUUCAAUCUGCAGCACAAGGACUAGAGAAUCUGAUGCAAUCCCAAAAUUGUGAUCCAAGAGCAAGAACAAAGAAUCUGGGCUCCACAAGCGGGGGGGGGGGGGGGGGGGGAUGCCUUUAAUCCCAGCACUGAGGAGGCAGUAGACCUCUGAGCUCAAGGUCAGCCUGGUAUAGGGAGUGGAUUCCAAGAUAGCCAGCACUACACAAAGAAAUCUUGUCUCUAAAAACAAAACAACAGGAACAAACAAACAAAGACAGAAUCUGGGCUCCACAAAAGACAGAAUUCUAGCAGGCUCCCAACUGAUUGGAUAAUGCCAGUCUACACAAAGAAAAUAUCUUUCUCUCUCAAUCCACCAACCCACAUGGUAUUCUCUAGAAAAACUCCCUUAAACUCAGGCGGUGGCAUAUGAUGUUAAUCCCAGCAGAGGUAGGCUGAUCUCUCAGAGUUCAAGGCCAGACUGUUUUCUUCAUAGUUCCAAGCCAAACAGUUCUACAUAGACCAUCUCAGAAAACAAAAACUCCCUUUAGUUUGUAAUUGGAGGAGCAAAGGGAAUUACUACAGUACCUCCAUUAAGCUCUUUUUGCCACAGUAGACAAUUUUAAGGUCAGGGAGCAAAGUGAAUUUUUCUGUCUGUAGCUGGAUAUCUCUGAUUCAACCUUAGAACUCAAAAACUAGGAAAAUAACCACAGGACGCAUUUGAAGGUCCACUGUGAAAAGAAUGCCAAGGGUCUGGGGAAAUGGCUCAGUGGGUAAAGGGUUUGCUAUACGUGCACCAAGACUUGAGUUAGAUUCUCCACAUCUGUAUAAACCAGGUGGUAGCAAGUACCUGUAGCCCCUGAGCUGGAAAGAGAGACAGAAGCAUCCCGGGGCUAACUGGCCAGCCUCGCUGAACUCCAAAUUCAAUGGGAUAUCUUCUCUCAAAAAAUCAGAAGGGGUGGAGAAACGGCUCAGCAGUUAAGAGCCCUUUGUUGCUUCUGGAGAGGGUUGGUUCCCAGCACCUACACAGUGGCUCACAAUUACCUGAAACUCCAGUUCCAGGAGAUGUGACACCUUCCUUUGACCUCCAUGGAUAUCAUCCAUGCGCAUAGUGCGCGCACACACACACACACACACACACACACACACACACACACACAAUGAAAGGUAAAAGUUUUAAAGUUGCCCCCCUAGACACAAAGUUUAGAGCAGAAAAAAAAAAAAAAAAAAAAACAGGUUAGGCCCCAGAAUUGUAUGUUCCAAGAAGCCUCUCCUAGGGCUAUAGAAUGGAUAAUUACAUUGGCCAGCUCAACAGCUUUCUCCCAGAAACUAGCUGACCAUAAAUCUUAGAGAACAAUCUUGAGAAGCAGGAAACAACUUCUCCUAGGAACUAGCUGACCAUGAAGUUAAACAAUCUGAGAAGUAGGAGACAGCUUCUCCUAGGAAACAAUCUUGGGGGACAGAGAGUUCUUCCUUCUGAUUUUUCACUGUUAUUCUACACACUUUCCAAUGACGCCAUCCCUGCCCCCUCGGGUUGUGGUUUCUCCCUUUAUUUUUUUUUUUUUUCUUUUUUUCGGAGCUGGGGAGUGAACCCAGGGCCUUGCGCUUGCUAGGCAAGUGCUCUACUGCUGAGCUAAAACCCCAACCCCGGUUUCUCCCUUUAAAUACCUCUUCUCCCAGCCUCUCGGUGGUCGAACUCCACUGUCCCUGCGUGGGAUACGAGUCUCGACCCCAGUGCACUGGUUGCUAUCGAUAAACCUCAUGUGAUUACAA